rnacentral:lncRNA from 1 species
CAGGCGAGGCCCCCGCGAGGAGGAAGAGGACGCCUGGGAGAUGGAGGAGGAUCCCUCGCAUCCUACCUCAUCCUUCCCUGAGAAACAGACCCAUGACAAUGCAGGAGCUUCUCGAGGACUGCUUGGACAUGAGUGAUGAGAUUUACUGCUUCAGAGAGGAGGAUAAGCCCGCUUUCCGCGAGGCCAGGGCGAAAAUGGCCAGGUUCUAUCAGCAUAUGAUCGACGUCGAGAAGAACGGCAACAGACUCACCUUACGACCCCGCGUCCUCUUGGAUACACCGUAUGUUAAACCCCUUCCUUUUACCUUUUUUUGUUCAUGGGUAUGAUCAAAACAUCAACUUGAAUACUUGAUGGAUACCCUGCAAAUCCUACCAACAUGUAGAUGUAGAUCCUAAGUAAUAUGUUGAUCCUACCAACAUGUAGGUCCUACGUAAUAUGUUUAUGCAGUUUUAUUUUAUAUUGAACUCGUUAUUGCAUUACCAGAAACUGAACUAGGUUGGACAGCCAGAAACUGGUAGGGAGAACACGGCUUGAUGUGGCACCAACAGGAUGAAUAAUCCUGGCGGGCUUAUUUGAGUUUUGCUGAUUGUCCAAACCAUCAGAAAUACCAUGUUUGUCUUGAUGUGGCAUCAACAGGAUGAAUAAUCCUGAUGGGCUUAUUUGAGUCUUGCUGAUUGUCCAAACCAUCAGAAAUACCAUGUUUUUUUUUAUUCUGACAGUGAAGUCCUGUAAUAAGAAAUAAUAUUUCAUUAAAACACAUAGAAAUUAAAUUUCAUAACCACCAGUCCACCAGUUCUUAUUGUACACAGCACUGACAUGUACAUAAUACACACUCAUCUUCAGAAUCAAUAUUUCAUUAGAAUAUUCUAUAAACAAUGUAAUAGAUCAAGUUUAGUAUUUCACUCGAACACACAAAACAUCAAGUUCUUGAGUUUGCACGACACUAAAAGUCUAAAACUGCAAAUUUGUAAGAGAUCGUCACAAACUUCUUACUAUUUCAUGUUUGGGAGGCAGUAGCACUUGAGAGUGUCCUGCCACCACUAGGUCAUUGGCGUUAAUAGCACUAAUGUCUUGUUGAGAGAAGCUCCAGCCUAGCUUCUGACCUACAAUUCAAGAGAUGUUUCACAUUCUUAAAAAAAUAACUGAAUUGCAUCGAAAAGGAUGAAUCACACCUAACAGAUUUAUGUCACUACCUCACGAUAUAAAUUGUCAUCCAUCUGAACUAGCUAAUACCCGUGUGUUGCUAUGGGUAAAAAAUUUAUAUCGCGUUGAUAUGUAAUACUCAUCAAUCCAUAUAUACCAAUGCCAAUGCCACAAAUUAUUUACUGUUUAUGAUUAAGAUUUUUACAUACCCUACUAUAUUUUUUAUUCGUAGUGGUGCUUAAAUCGAGAUCCUAGGUUACUUGUCCACCUUGGGCAACAGCAUGGUUAAUGGCAUCAAGGUUGCUUUUGCAUCAGUGGCCACUAGCUGCUGCAUAGUGUUUUCUUAGCAGCUUGUCAUCUUGAUUGCUCUUCUAGCCUUCUUUUUCGGCUGCCUGUUACACAACCUAAGACAAAACCAGCUUGCCGGGCUACUUUAACAUUUUAAUUGACCAAAUUUCUUCCAUUGAUACAAAAAGACAACUGCACAAGAAUGAAAGCAUCUAACGAGAUUCCUAAUAUCUAGUAGAGGAAUAUACUUGUCAACCAAUUUGAAGAUGAAAUUAAAAAACUCCCAUCUUACUAUCUCUGCACUUUUUGUUGACCAAAGUUUAAGUGCAGAGCAAAGUUCAAGAGUUCAAUUGAAGUUCAGUUACCAUGGAGUUGUGAUUGGUACCUGACACCUGGAAAUAGGACAUCUUAAAGGUGGUGUAUAACUGACAAAGCCAGUGAGGCAAAUAAAAAAUUGAAGCUUAACUGAUGUCUACAGAAAUAAAACAAUCUUACAUUCAUGGCUGAUUGCAACACCAACCAUGUAGGUCGACCAAUUUUACAAAAUCAUGUGCAAAACCACACCCAAUUCCGAUUGAAGUGAAAUUGGAAUCACAUCUCCACCUAAGCUUUUGUACACUAUAAACAGAGAAAAACCGAUUGUUGGCACACAUGCUGCUGCAUUCCUGAUUAAAACAAGCAAUUAGCACACAUCACCUUUCCCUAAUGUAGAAUUGCAGAUCGGUAUGUGCUGCUGCUGUGGUGAUUGGCGACCAAGACAUCUUCUAUCAGGGCACUGAGUCCCUAGUUGACCAGGGUGACGAGCAUGGGCGCUGUUCCCUGGUGAUGCGAUAGUAUAUUACAACAGAUUCCUGAAAAAUAACAACAAUUUCCAUUCAAUUCUAGGUUCGCAAAAUGAAAAUCCCUAAAGCCAUUUACUGACAAUGAGAUUUAGGAAUUGGGGGAAAGUAGUGGAAUGGAGAAGAACAAGCACUCACGAGAGGCCUGCUGGAUGGCCACUGGCUGGCUCCACGGCGCCGGUGGACGGGCGCCUUGCGGAGUAGGCGAGGGCGGCCACCGGAGAGGGGGGUGCGGUUGCCGGAUGGCUUGACGCCCAGUGCCCAGUGGCUCGCAGCCUCGUGCGGUGCCAGUGCCGCAGUCGUGCCUCCUGAAGGUCGGGCGCAUCGGGGUCGGGGAAUGGG